CAGCCGCCGCGGGAAUACGUAGGUGGCGAGCGUUGUCCGGAAUUAUUGGGCGUAAAGGGAGCGCAGGCGGACAUAUAAGUCCAUCUUAAAAGUGCGGGGCUCAACCCCGUGAGGGGAUGGAAACUGUAUGCCUUGAGUGCAGGAGAGGAAAGCGGAAUUCCCAGUGUAGCGGUGAAAUGCGUAGAUAUUGGGAGGAACACCAGUGGCGAAGGCGGCUUUCUGGACUGUAACUGACGCUGAGGCUCGAAAGCCAGGGGAGCGAACGGGAUUAGAUACCCCUGUAGUCCCUGUCUCUUAUAUA
rnacentral:rRNA from 1 species